rnacentral:lncRNA from 1 species
GUAGAAAAUAUUACAUCUCACCAUUGAAAAUAGUUAUGUGUGUAUGUACACUAUUCAAAAUCAUUUACUAGUAUAUAGCAAACAAAUAAACAGUAAUUCUACCUUAAGGUUUUUCUGUCUGUUGAUUCUUCGUCAUCGUACCGGAUAUUAGAUACUAUUGAGUCCAAACAUAUUUGACAAGAUAGUUGAAACAUAGUGUACUUCACGUAUUAUUCUAUUUUAUGACAUGAACGUCUUAAGGAAAAAUUAUUACCUCUACUCCACACACUUUCCGUGCAAACAUUGUCCACGUUAUAUGAAAUAAAAUUCUACGAAUCUGAGAAAAAAAACCCCACAUUUUACGAUUGAUAAAAAUGAACAUUGUGAUAUAGUUCUUUGCCUUAAAUAACAACUGAAUAUAUGUAUUUGUACAAAUGACAAAUAAUGUAAUAAUUGUGUUCUGGUUACUAAUAUCUGUAAUCGUUGAUCGAAGUUGUUCGAUGUAUUUCUUCUUGUAUUUGCAUUAUAUUGCGAACAGUUUUCGAUAGUUUGGUCAAUCAGAGCAAUUUUUUUCCCCGUAAAACACAUAUUACAAUAACGAUUAUAACAAUGACAACCAUGAUGACACCAAUUACUAUUCCUGCUAUAGC